UACGUAGGGUGCGAGCGUUAAUCGGAAUUACUGGGCGUAAAGCGUGCGCAGGCGGCUUCGCAAGUCAGGCGUGAAAUCCCCGGGCUUAACCUGGGAAUGGCGUCUGAAACUACGGAGCUGGAGUGUGGCAGAGGGAGGUAGAAUUCCACGUGUAGCGGUGAAAUGCGUAGAUAUCGAGAGGAACACCGGUGGCGAAGGCGGCAUCCUGGACCGAUACUGACGCUGAGGAGCGAAAGCCAGGGGAGCAAACGGG
rnacentral:rRNA from 1 species